rnacentral:rRNA from 1 species
UGCGUAGGUGGCGUGGUAAGUCGGGUGUGAAAUUUCGGAGCUUAACUCCGAAACUGCAUUCGAUACUGCCGUGCUUGAGGACUGGAGAGGAGACUGGAAUUUACGGUGUAGCAGUGAAAUGCGUAGAGAUCGUAAGGAAGACCAGUGGCGAAGGCGGGUCGUCUGGACAGUUCCUGACACUGAGGCACGAAGGCUAGGGGAGCAAACG